CCCUUAGAUGUUCUGGGCUGCACGCGCGCUACACUGACACACUCAGCGAGUUCCUGUGCCGAGAGGCUUGGGUAAUCAUGUGAGCGUGUGUCGUGAUGGGGAUAGAAUAUUGUAAUUAUUGCUCUUCAACGAGGAAUUCCUAGUCUUCAACGAGGAAUUCCUAGUAAGCGCAAGUCAGCAGCUUGCGCUGAUUACGUCCCUGCCCUUUGUACACACCGCCCGUCGCUCCUACCGAUUGGGUGAUCCGGUGAAUGAUUCGGACUUCGGUGCUCCUAGCUUGCUAGGCGUACUGGGGAAAGUUUUGUGAACCUUAUCACUUGGAGGAAGGAGAAGUCGUAACA
rnacentral:rRNA from 1 species